rnacentral:rRNA from 1 species
CAAUAGCGUAUAUUAAAGUUGUUGCAGUUAAAACGCUCGUAGUUGGAUUUCUGUUGAAGACGACCGGUGUCCCUUGUGGUUCUACCUGGUUCGGCUUUAGCAUCCUUCUGGUGUUUGUCUCGGCACUUCAUUGUGUCGUAGCGGGCUCCAGGACUUUUACUUUGAGAAAAUUAGAGUGUUUCAAGCAGGCGUUCGCCUUGAAUACAUUAGCAUGGAAUAAUAAGAUAGGACUUCGGUUCUAUUUUGUUGGUUUCUAGAACUGGAGUAAUGAUUAAUAGGGAUAGUUGGGGGCAUUCGUAUUUAACUGCUAGAGGUGAAAUUCUUGGAUUUGUUAAAGACGGACUACUGCGAAAGCAUUUGCCUAGGAUGUUUUCAUUAA